GUCUAUGGCCAUACCACCCUGAACACACCCUAUCUCGUCUGAUCUCGGAAGCUAAGCAGGGUCGGGCCUGGUUAGUACUUGGAUGGGAGAGAAAACAAAACUGAAGAGGAAGAACUCACACUACGGAGU
rfam:Cavia porcellus supercont2_41 genomic scaffold, whole genome shotgun sequence.